rnacentral:rRNA from 1 species
AGUGAACGCUGGCGGUAGGCCUAACACAUGCAAGUCGAGCGGCAGCACAGUAAGAGCUUGCUCUUACGGGUGGCGAGUGGCGGACGGGUGAGGAAUACAUCGGAAUCUACUUUUUCGUGGGGGAUAACGUAGGGAAACUUACGCUAAUACCGCAUACGACCUACGGGUGAAAGCAGGGGAUCUUCGGACCUUGCGCGAUUGAAUGAGCCGAUGUCGGAUUAGCUAGUUGGCGGGGUAAAGGCCCACCAAGGCGACGAUCCGUAGCUGGUCUGAGAGGAUGAUCAGCCACACUGGAACUGAGACACGGUCCAGACUCCUACGGGAGGCAGCAGUGGGGAAUAUUGGACAAUGGGCGCAAGCCUGAUCCAGCCAUACCGCGUGGGUGAAGAAGGCCUUCGGGUUGUAAAGCCCUUUUGUUGGGAAAGAAAAGCAGCAGGUUAAAACCCCGCUGUUCUGACGGUACCCAAAGAAUAAGCACCGGCUAACUUCGUG